GACGAACGUUGGCGGCGUGCUUAACACAUGCAAGUCGAACGGAAAGGCCCUGCUUUUGUGGGGUGCUCGAGUGGCGAACGGGUGAGUAACACGUGAGUAACCUGCCCUUGACUUUGGGAUAACUUCAGGAAACUGGGGCUAAUACCGGAUAGGAGCUCCUGCUGCAUGGUGGGGGUUGGAAAGUUUCGGCGGUUGGGGAUGGACUCGCGGCUUAUCAGCUUGUUGGUGGGGUAGUGGCUUACCAAGGCUUUGACGGGUAGCCGGCCUGAGAGGGUGACCGGCCACAUUGGGACUGAGAUACGGCCCAGACUCCUACGGGAGGCAGCAGUGGGGAAUAUUGCACAAUGGGCGGAAGCCUGAUGCAGCAACGCCGCGUGCGGGAUGACGGCCUUCGGGUUGUAAACCGCUUUCGCCUGUGACGAAGCGUGAGUGACGGUAAUGGGUAAAGAAGCACCGGCUAACUACGUGCCAGCAGCCGCGGUGAUACGUAGGGUGCGAGCGUUGUCCGGAUUUAUUGGGCGUAAAGGGCUCGUAGGUGGUUGAUCGCGUCGGAAGUGUAAUCUUGGGGCUUAACCCUGAGCGUGCUUUCGAUACGGGUUGACUUGAGGAAGGUAGGGGAGAAUGGAAUUCCUGGUGGAGCGGUGGAAUGCGCAGAUAUCAGGAGGAACACCAGUGGCGAAGGCGGUUCUCUGGGCCUUUCCUGACGCUGAGGAGCGAAAGCGUGGGGAGCGAACAGGCUUAGAUACCCUGGUAGUCCACGCUGUAAACGGUGGGUACUAGGUGUGGGGUCCAUUCCACGGGUUCCGUGCCGUAGCUAACGCUUUAAGUACCCCGCCUGGGGAGUACGGCCGCAAGGCUAAAACUCAAAGGCAUUGACGGGGCCCCGCACAAGCGGCGGAGCAUGCGGAUUAAUUCGAUGCAACGCGUAGAACCUUACCUGGGUUUGACAUGGAUCGGGAGCGCUCAGAGAUGGGUGUGCCUCUUUUGGGGUCGGUUCACAGGUGGUGCAUGGCUGUCGUCAGCUCGUGUCGUGAGAUGUUGGGUUAAGUCCCGCAACGAGCGCAACCCUUGUUCACUGUUGCCAGCACGUUAUGGUGGGGACUCAGUGGAGACCGCCGGGGUCAACUCGGAGGAAGGUGGGGAUGACGUCAAGUCAUCAUGCCCCUUAUGUCCAGGGCUUCACGCAUGCUACAAUGGCUGGUACAGAGAGUGGCGAGCCUGUGAGGGUGAGCGAAUCUCGGAAAGCCGGUCUCAGUUCGGAUUGGGGUCUGCAACUCGACCUCAUGAAGUCGGAGUCGCUAGUAAUCGCAGAUCAGCAACGCUGCGGUGAAUACGUUCCCGGG
rnacentral:rRNA from 1 species